rnacentral:rRNA from 1 species
AGCGAGCGCUGGCGGCAGGCUUAACACAUGCAAGUCGAGCGGACCUUUCGGGGUCAGCGGCGGACGGGUGAGUAACGCGUGGGAACGUGCCUUCCGGUUCGGAAUAACCCUGGGAAACUAGGGCUAAUACCGGAUACGCCCUUAUGGGGAAAGGUUUACUGCCGGAAGAUCGGCCCGCGUCUGAUUAGCUAGUUGGUGGGGUAACGGCCUACCAAGGCGACGAUCAGUAGCUGGUCUGAGAGGAUGAUCAGCCACACUGGGACUGAGACACGGCCCAGACUCCUACGGGAGGCAGCAGUGGGGAAUAUUGGACAAUGGGCGCAAGCCUGAUCCAGCCAUGCCGCGUGAGUGAUGAAGGCCUUAGGGUUGUAAAGCUCUUUUAUCCGGGACGAUAAUGACGGUACCGGAGGAAUAAGCCCCGGCUAACUUCGUG